CAAGUCGAGCGGGGAAUAUUGAGCAGCUUGCUGCUUGGUAUUUCUAGCGGCGGACGGGUGAGUAACGCGUGAGCAACCUGCCUUUAUCAGGGGGAUAACGCAUCGAAAGAUGUGCUAAUACCGCGUAAGACCACAGCUUCACAUGGAGCAGGGGUCAAAGGAGCAAUCCGGAUAAAGAUGGGCUCGCGUCCGAUUAGCUAGUUGGUGAGAUAACAGCCCACCAAGGCGACGAUCGGUAGCCGACCUGAGAGGGUGAUCGGCCACAUUGGAACUGAGAAACGGUCCAGACUCCUACGGGAGGCAGCAGUGGGGAAUAUUGGGCAAUGGGCGAAAGCCUGACCCAGCAACGCCGCGUGAGGGAAGAAGGGUUUCGGCUCGUAAACCUCUGUCCUAUGGGACGAAGGAAGUGACGGUACCAUAGGAGGAAGCCCCGGCUAACUACGUGCCAGCAGCCGCGGUAAUACGUAGGGGGCGAGCGUUGUCCGGAAUGAUUGGGCGUAAAGGGCGCGUAGGCGGCCUGCUAAGUCUGGAGUGAAAGUCCUGCUUUCAAGGUGGGAAUUGCUUUGGAUACUGGUGGGCUGGAGUGCAGGAGAGGAAAGCGGAAUUACCGGUGUAGCGGUGAAAUGCGUAGAGAUCGGUAGGAACACCAGUGGCGAAGGCGGCUUUCUGGACUGAAACUGACGCUGAGGCGCGAAAGCGUGGGGAGCAAACAGGAUUAGAUACCCUGGUAGUCCACGCGGUAAACGAUGAAUGCUAGGUGUAGGAGGUAUCGACCCCUUCUGUGCCGCAGUAAACACAAUAAGCAUUCCGCCUGGG
rnacentral:rRNA from 1 species